UACGAAGGGGGCUAGCGUUGUUCGGAUUUACUGGGCGUAAAGCGCACGUAGGCGGAUCGUUAAGUCGGGGGUGAAAUCCUGGAGCUCAACUCCAGAACUGCCUUCGAUACUGGCGAUCUUGAGUCCGGAAGAGGUGAGUGGAACUCCUAGUGUAGAGGUGGAAUUCGUAGAUAUUAGGAAGAACACCAGUGGCGAAGGCGGCUCACUGGUCCGGUACUGACGCCUGAGGUGCGAAAGGCGUGGGGAGCAAACAGG
rnacentral:rRNA from 1 species